rnacentral:rRNA from 1 species
GAUUAACGCUAGCGGCAGGCAUAAUACAUGCAAGUUGAGCGGCAGCACAGGUAGCACUACUGGGUGGCGAGUGGCGCACGGGUGCGUAACACGUAUGCAACCUACCCUAUACAGGCGAAUAACCUUUAGAAAUGAGGGCUAAUACGCCGUAGUAUUACAGAUGGGCAUCUAUUUGUAAUUAAAGAUUUAUCGGUAUAGGAUGGGCAUGCGUCCCAUUAGUUAGUUGGUAAGGUAACGGCUUACCAAGACGAUGAUGGGUAGGGGAUCUGAGAGGACUUACCCCCACACUGGUACUGAGACACGGACCAGACUCCUACGGGAGGCAGCAGUAAGGAAUAUUGGGCAAUGGCCGCGAGGCUGACCCAGCCAUGCCGCGUGCAGGAAGACGGCCUUAUGGGUUGUAAACUGCUUUUAUACGGGAAUAAUAGAGUGUACGCGUACAUUUAUGCAAGUAUCGGAUGAAUAAGCAUCGGCUAACUCCGUG